AGUGAACGCUGGCGGUAGGCCUAACACAUGCAAGUCGAACGGCAGCACAGUAAGAGUUUGCUCUUACGGGUGGCGAGUGGCGGACGGGUGAGGAAUACAUCGGAAUCUACUUUUUCGUGGGUGAUAACGUAGGGAAACUUACGCUAAUACCGCAUACGACCUACGGGUGAAAGCAGGGGAUCUUCGCACCUUGCGCGAUUGAAUGAGCCGAUGUCGGAUUAGCUAGUUGGCGGGGUAAAGGCCCACCAAGGCGACGAUCCGUAGCUGGUCUGAGAGGAUGAUCAGCCACACUGGAACUGAGACACGGUCCAGACUCCUACGGGAGGCAGCAGUGGGGAAUAUUGGACAAUGGGCGCAAGCCUGAUCCAGCCAUGCCGCGUGGGUGAAGAAGGCCUUCGGGUUGUAAAGCCCUUUUGUUGGGAAAGAAAAGCAGCAGGUUAAUACCCCGCUGUUCUGACGGUACCCAAAGAAUAAGCACCGGCUAACUUCGUG
rnacentral:rRNA from 1 species